UCUUGUGGAUGAGCAAAGAAAGUGGUUUCUUGAGAUGGAAUCUACUCCUGGUGAGAGGCUGUGAA
rnacentral:pre_miRNA from 1 species